rnacentral:rRNA from 1 species
CAGUAGCCGCGGGAAUACGUAGGGUGCAAGCGUUAAUCGGAAUUACUGGGCGUAAAGCGUGCGCAGGCGGUUAUAUAAGACAGAUGUGAAAUCCCCGGGCUCAACCUGGGAACUGCAUUUGUGACUGUAUAGCUAGAGUACGGCAGAGGGGGAUGGAAUUCCGCGUGUAGCAGUGAAAUGCGUAGAUAUGCGGAGGAACACCGAUGGCGAAGGCAAUCCCCUGGGCCUGUACUGACGCUCAUGCACGAAAGCGUGGGGAGCAAACAGGAUUAGAGACCCGUGUAGUCCCUGUCUCUUAUAC